rnacentral:ncRNA from 1 species
CCCCAUUCGUGAUGGGGAUCGGGGAUUGCAAUUCUUCCCUGCGAACGAGGAAUUCCCAAUAAGUGCAGGUCAUAAGCUCGCGUUGAUUAAGUCCCUGCCCUUUGUACGCACCGCCCAUUGCUACUACCAAUUGGAUGGUUUAGUGAAGUCCUCGGAUCGGCCCCGGCGGGGCCGGCCCCGGUCCUGCCGGAGCGUCGAGAAGACGGUCGAAC